GAACGAGAUCGGAGCACCCCGUCGGAUUUUAAGUUUUGCAAAUUGUUGCAGAUUUUUUGCAAUAAAUGCAGAAAACCAGCAACAAUUCCCAAAACUUCAAACUCUCAUAACUCUCUCAUCUCUCAUCCGAUUUAGGCGAUUCGAAGUGCGGGAGCUUCGUAUUUUCGGUGGCUUCGCUGUAGGGUGUUCGAAAGUUGUUGCGUGCGCGUAGUUCGAG
rnacentral:lncRNA from 1 species